rnacentral:hammerhead_ribozyme from 1 species
ACUCAACUGACGAGUCCUAAAUUGGACGAAACAUGCGCCCUGGAU